GUUUUGACUCUCCCAGGUUGUCCCUGGUCUAUAUUUUCUUUAGUAUCACUCCCUGCCCCCCACCAUUCCCCACCCCCCCCCCAUUUACUUCAAUUUUCUCUUCUUUAGGUAGCUAAAUGUAGAAUCACAGAAUCAUAGAAUGGUUUUGGUUGGACAGGACCUUAAAAAUAAUCUUGAUCUAACCAACCUGCCACGUACAGGGACACCUUGCACUUAACCUGAUUGCUCAGAGCUCCAUCCUGCCCAGCCUUAUCUUGUCUGGAAAAAAAACAUUUCUAUUUUAAAAAAAGUUACUCCCUUUCUGUAUCUCAGAGCUGUCAUAAUUUGGGUGAAAGGAGCCUCCUCAACUGCCUGGAGAAGCCUUGGGACAGGCAGAGCCCCACAUAAAUCAACAAGUAUCGUGCCAAGUAAUGCUAACUGAAUUCACUCACAUUUUCUUUUGGGAAAAGACUGGCCUGACUUUCAGCCAUCAGAAAUUAGGAAAAGAUUGGUGAUGUCUUCACCUGUGCCCAAAUUUUUGGAAGCCAUGAGGAGUUAUACAGGAUGACUAUUGAGACAAACCCCAUGUGUUUCAGGUGUCCAGAAGGCUACACAUGAUAUUUCUCAAGAGCAGCCUAGAGUGCUUGGUACAUAGUCAGCUGUCUUAUUGCUUAUGGGGGAAAAACAUGCAAUAAGACUGCAGAAUAAAGAAUUUGCAUCAGGGUACAAUAGCUCCCUCCCCAUCCUAGCUCCUGAGUCUGCUUUACAGUGACUCAAAAGCUGUGGGUUGCUUGAGUUCAUAGUCCAGUAGCCUAAGAGAGGACAUGACAAAGAGAUGUCUCCAGACAGUGAUUCUGAACUUUUCCUGACUCAGUUUCCUUCUGCUGCUGUGUUAUAUCCUUUUCAUCAUUCGACCCCACUCCUGGGUGCUGGAAUUGACAGCCUCUGGCAGCUGCAGGAGUUUAUGAUAGCAGUUUUUUACUGCCCAUCCUCCUCCUCCUGCUUUCUGUGCGCUCAUCACCACUGACUGCUCACUUCUCUCCUGAGCACUGAUAUUUCACAGGAGCCUUUCUCAGCCAUCUGUGAUUUCCUUCUGCACAGUUCAUGCAGGGUGGCUUCCUGCAAAGUGCCUGUGCCUGGCAAUUCCUCCCUCUGACAAGGAGCUCUUGGGAGCUGAGCAACCGAUGAGUAUAGAUCAGCCCCAUCAGCAAGAGGACAAGCAGCCCAGCAGGACCAUCCCCAGACCCACCACAGCAGAGGAACCCAGGCUGCAACAGUCAUCAUAUAAGGUCAGGUAGAUGAAAAAAUAAGGUGGAGAUUGUGGGAUCCUUGCAAAACAGGAGGAGCCAAAUGAGGAGUAAAGGCACUUCAAUAUCAAGGAAUUUAGGUGCAGCAAAGAAAAGUAGCCAAAAGCACUCAUUCUCAGCACCCAGCUUUAAAGGGCAGCCUAGAAAUUAUGAGAAACCAGCUCUGAAUGAAGAACCUGCCAGGAUUUUUACAAGAGAAGACCCUGUGCAUCUGCUGGCGUGAGAGGACUGCAGAUGACCAAGUCUCCUGCUCUAGACAAUGAUCCUGCUGUUAGAAGAAGAGAAACAGAGGUACAGGGCAGUGGAAUGAUCAAGGAAUAGGAGAGGCUCUGUACUCCCAAUUGGACCAGUGCUGUGACGUCAG